rnacentral:rRNA from 1 species
GAUGAACGCUGGCGGCGUGCCUAAUACAUGCAAGUCGAGCGAACGGACGAGAAGCUUGCUCCUCUGAUGUUAGCGGCGGACGGGUGAGUAACACGUGGAUAACCUACCUAUAAGACUGGGAUAACUUCGGGAAACCGGAUCUAAUACCGGAUAAUAUUUUGCACCGCAUUGUUCAAAAGUGAAAGACGGUCUUGCUGUCACUUAUAGAUGGAUCCGCGCUGCAUUCGCUAGUUGGUAAGGUAACGGCUUACCAACGCAACGAUGCAUAGCCGACCUGAAAGGGUGAUCAGCCACACUGGAACUGAGACACAGUCCAGACUCUGACGGGAGGAAGCAGUAGGGAAUCUUCCGCAAGGGGGGAAAGCCUGACGGAGCAACGCCGCGGAAGGGAUGAAGGACUUCGGAUCGUAAAGCGCUGUUAUUAGGGAAGAAGAUAAGUGUAAGUAACUGUGCACAUCUUGACGGUACCUAAACAGAAAGCCACGGCUAACUACGUG